UACGUAGGGUGCGAGCGUUAUCCGGAUUUACUGGGUUUAAAGGGCGCGUAGGCGGACCUUCAAGUCAGGGGUGAAAUCUUUCAGCUUAACUGGAAACGUGCCUCUGAUACUGGUGGUCUCGAGGGAGGCAGGGGCAUGCGGAACUUCCGGUGGAGCGGUGAAAUGCGUAGAUAUCGGAAGGAACGCCGGUGGCGAAAGCGGCGUGCUGGACCUCUUCUGACGCUGAGGCGCGAAAGCUAGGGGAGCGAACGGG
rnacentral:rRNA from 1 species